UCCCCAGUGGCUCAGUGGUAAAGAAUCUGCCUUCAAUGCAGGAGAGCCAGGUUCAAUCCCUGGGUUGGGAA
rnacentral:tRNA from 1 species